UUGACCUCGGAUCAGGUAGGGAUACCCGCUGAACUUAAGCAUAUCAAUAAGCGGAGGAAAAGAAACCAACAGGGAUUGCCCUAGUAACGGCGAGUGAAGCGGCAACAGCUCAAAUUUGAAAUCUGGCUCUUUCAGAGUCCGAGUUGUAAUUUGCAGAGGGCGCUUUGGCUUUGGCAGCGGUCCAAGUUCCUUGGAACAGGACGUCACAGAGGGUGAGAAUCCCGUACGUGGUCGCUAGCUAUUGCCGUGUAAAGCCCCUUCGACGAGUCGAGUUGUUUGGGAAUGCAGCUCUAAAUGGGAGGUAAAUUUCUUCUAAAGCUAAAUAUUGGCCAGAGACCGAUAGCGCACAAGUAGAGUGAUCGAAAGAUGAAAAGCACUUUGGAAAGAGAGUCAAACAGCACGUGAAAUUGUUGAAAGGGAAGCGCUUGCAGCCAGACUUGCUUGCAGUUGCUCAUCCGGGCUUUUGCCCGGUGCACUCUUCUGUAGGCAGGCCAGCAUCAGUUUGGGCGGUGGGAUAAAGGUCUCUGUCACGUACCUCUCUUCGGGGAGGCCUUAUAGGGGAGACGACAUACCACCAGCCUAG
rnacentral:rRNA from 1 species